rnacentral:sRNA from 1 species
UAAUCAGAGCACUUUCAGUGAUGUAGCAAAGCAGUUUGCAAGUGGACCUAUAACGUGUGGUUAUGUAAGUCUAAAUGAUGAUGAAAAUGAUUAUGACGAUAGUGAUGAUGAUGAUGAUGGUGAUGAUGAUGAUCCUGUGACACAUAGUAUAAGACAGUUGAAUUUUGACAAACGAAAUAUAUAUCAGGUAAUUAAUUUGAUAUAAAGCACUUAAAUUUGUAUUUGCAUAUAGUGUUAGAGAGUUUUAUCUAUGAGCAGCAUAGGACCCUCCAAGUCUCAGGCGCUUUGACACUAGCGCGUUACACCCAGGCAUUACAUUGUAAAGAAUAGAUGACAGCUAGGGGAACUUAGCACAUUCAAUACGAAA